GAUCCUGGCUCAGGAUGAACGCUGGCGGUAUGCUUAACACAUGCUAGUCGAACGAACUCUUCGGAGUGAGUGGCGGACGGGUGAGUAACGCGUGAGAAUCUACCUCAAGGACGGGGACAACAGCAGGAAACUGGUGCUAAUACCCGAUAGCGCUGAAAAGUGAAAGAUUUAUUACCUAGAGAGGAGCUCGCGUCCGAUUAGCUAGUUGGAAGGGUAAAAGCCUACCAAGGCGACGAUCGGUAGCUGGUCUGAGAGGAUGAGCAGCCACACUGGGACUGAGACACGGCCCAGACUCCUACGGGAGGCAGCAGUGGGGAAUUUUCCGCAAUGGGCGAAAGCCUGACGGAGCAAUACCGCGUGAGGGAAGAAGGCUUUUGGGUUGUAAACCUCUUUUGUCAGGGAAGAAAAAAUGACGGUACCUGAAAGAAAAAGCAUCGGCUAACUCCGUGCCAGCAGCCGCGGUAAUACGGAGGAUGCAAGCGUUAUCCGGAAUCAUUGGGCGUAAAGGGUCCCCAGGUGGCGAAUAUCCUCUGCUGUUAAAGACCGGGGCUAAACUCCGGAAAGGCAGUGGAAACUGAUUGGCUAGAGUACGGUAGGGGUAGAGGGAAUUCCCAGUGUAGCGGUGAAAUGCGUAGAUAUUGGGAAGAACACCGGUGGCGAAAGCGCUCUACUAGGCCGAAACUGACACUGAGGGACGAAAGCUAGGGUAGCGAAAGGGAUUAGAUACCCCUGUAGUCUUAGCUGUAAACGAUGGAUACUAGGUGUAGCUUGUAUCGACCCGAGCUGUGCCGAAGCUAACGCGAUAAGUAUCCCGCCUGGGGAGUACGCACGCAAGUGUGAAACUCAAAGGAAUUGACGGGGGCCCGCACAAGCGGUGGAGUAUGUGGUUUAAUUCGAUGCAACGCGAAGAACCUUACCAGGGCUUGACAUGUCGCGAAUCUAGCUGAAAGGUUAGAGUGCCUUAGGGAACGCGAACACAGGUGGUGCAUGGCUGUCGUCAGCUCGUGUCGUGAGAUGUUGGGUUAAGUCCCGCAACGAGCGCAACCCUCGUCCUUAGUUGCCAAUAUUAAGUUAGGCACUCUAGGGGAACUGCCGGGGGACACCUCCGAAGGAAGGUGGGGAUGACGUCAAGUCAGCAUGCCCCUUAGUCCUGGGGGAAACACAUACUACAAUGGUUGGGACAAAGGGCAGCAAGCUCGCGAGAGUAAGCAAAUCUCAUCAAACCCAGCCAAAGUUCAGAUUGCAGGCUGCAACUCGCCUGCAUGAAGUAGGAAUCGCUAGUAAUCGCAGGUCAGCAUACUGCGGUGAAUUCGUUCCCGGGCCUUGUACACACCGCCCGUCACACCAUGGAAGCUGGCUACGCCCGAAGUCGUUACCCUAACCUUUAGAGGAGGGGGAUGCCGAAGGUAGAGCUAGUGACUGGGGUGAAGUCGUAACAAGGUAGCCGUA
rnacentral:rRNA from 1 species